UACGAAGGGGGCUAGCGUUGUUCGGAAUUACUGGGCGUAAAGCGCGCGCAGGCGGUCUUCCAAGUCAGUGGUGAAAGCCCGGAGCUCAACUCCGGAAUUGCCAUUGAAACUGUGAGACUGGAGUACGAGAGAGGUGAGUGGAAUUCCCAGUGUAGAGGUGAAAUUCGUAGAUAUUGGGAAGAACACCAGUGGCGAAGGCGGCUCUCUGGACCGUAACUGACGCUGAGGCGCGAAAGCGUGGGGAGCAACAGG
rnacentral:rRNA from 1 species